rnacentral:rRNA from 1 species
ACGCUCGACACCUACAGGAGGCAGCAGUGGGGAAUAUUGCACAAUGGGGGAAACCCUGAUGCAGCGACGCCGCGUGAGUGAAGAAGUAAUUCGUUAUGUAAAGCUCUAUCAGCAGGGAAGAAAGUGACGGUACCUGAGUAAGAAGCCCCGGCUAACUACGUACCAGCAGCCGCGGUAAUCUGAGCGGCUGGCAAGGC